rnacentral:rRNA from 1 species
GAUGAACGCUGGCGGCGUGCUUAACACAUGCAAGUCGAACGAAGCACUUUAUUUGAUUUCCUUCGGGACUGAUUAUUUUGUGACUGAGUGGCGGAUGGGUGAGUAACGCGUGGGUAACCUGCCUUGUACAGGGGGAUAACAGUUGGAAACGGCUGCUAAUACCGCAUAAGCGCACAGCAUCGCAUGAUGCAGUGUGAAAAACUCCGGUGGUAUAAGAUGGACCCGCGUUGGAUUAGCUAGUUGGUGAGGUAACGGCCCACCAAGGCGACGAUCCAUAGCCGACCUGAGAGGGUGACCGGCCACAUUGGGACUGAGACACGGCCCAAACUCCUACGGGAGGCAGCAGUGGGGAAUAUUGCACAAUGGGCGAAAGCCUGAUGCAGCGACGCCGCGUGAGCGAAGAAGUAUUUCGGUAUGUAAAGCUCUAUCAGCAGGGAAGAUAAUGACGGUACCUGACGAAGAAGCACCGGCUAAAUACGUG